CUUUUGUUUCCUCAAAGUCUCUCUUUUUUUUUUUUUUAGAUCCCCAAAAUCAGAAAAGAAAUAAAAUGCCAGGAUUCAAACAUUAAUUUUUAAGUAGAAUAAGCAAAAUUUGAAAAAUAUUAACAAAGAAAGAAAAAAGGGUGAUCAAGGAAGAUAAUUAUAUAUGAUGAAAAAGAAAAGUAACAAAAUGUGGAAAAAAUCAAUUAUGAAAAGGAUAAAUAGCAAAACAACAAAGGCAAACAAUUAUAAAAUACAAGAUAAAAGAUAGAGUAUGAGAAAGCAAACAAAUUAGAGCAAAUUUAAAGAAAAAUGUGUAAAAAAGGAAAAGUGACGGCAAAAAGUGGGAUCAGAGGAAAUCAUUACUUUUCUUUAAAAAAUAAUAAUAAUAAUAAAAUUAGUGAUAUUAUUAUUUAAACAUACUAAAUAACAUGAAAAAUGAAAAUUAAGCUUGGAUAAUAGCAAAGAAGUGGUAAAAAAUAUUAAUUAGGCUUUUUUUUUUUUUUUUUAUUCCACAAAACUAAAAGAAAAAAAAAAUAAAACCAGGCUAUAUACAAAGUGAAAGUGAGUAAAAAAAAAAACAAAUAAACAUAGCAAAGCAAAUUUAAUUUGAUGAAUCAUCAGAAUCAGGUAUAUUUGAUUGAAAAAACCUGCCGCACCUGCUGGCAAAGUCAACCGCCAGACGCCAAACUUUGGGCGAGCUAACCAGGUCUUUUAGAGAAGAAGGGAUAGACCCAACCUCAGUUAAACAGCCUUUGUAAAAGGAGGACCUCAAGUCGUCCAAUUGUGGACAAGUGAAGAAAAUGUGGGAAACAGUCUCAUCACCCGUUCGACAGCCGGGGCAGGAAGGGGUGAACAAAAGUUCACCUUUCUUGUAUCGGAAGGUCGCAAUGAAAGUAUGACCGGUGAUAAACCCAGUGAUGUAGUCAGUUGUAGGGUAGACAAAACUGUGGUCUGUAUGGAGAGAUAAAGGGGAGAGGCCAAAAGUUUUAAGGAUAGUAGGGUUUGAGGAAAUAAAUUCAUCAUUCCACUGCCUCCAGGCCUGACGGUGGAGGUAGCGAGACACAGUUGUGGCUGAAGCUAGAGAGUAAAGUGGUGGGGUAUCUCUAUCGUUAGCCGCCCUACGAGCUAGGGAGUCGGCAAUGAUGUUGCCCACCGUAUCCGCAUGGCCAUUGACCCAGUGAAGGGAAAUAGACCUAGAAAGAAGGAGAUUGUGAAGAAUCCUCUGGCAUUUGAAAACAAGAGGAUGUCUGGUUUCAAGGUUAGGAAUGGAGUUUAGAAGAGAGAGGCAGUCAGAAAAUAUAGCAAUAGUUAGUUGGGAGGGAAGAGAAGCAAUGUCACGGAGAGCAGUGAGAAGAGCGAAGCCCUCAGCUUGAAAAACUGAGCAGUGGGAAGAGAGAGGAAGAUAUAGAAAAAGAGGAGAGAAGGAAGAACCGGGGCAAGGGACGCGGGCAACACCAGAACCAACUCCAGAAGAAGUCUUAGAGCCAUCGGUGUAAUAACUGAUGUCAGGAAGGAAGGAGGGAAGAGGAGUGGGGGAAAGGUCAGGGAUGGCUGGGGGAGAGGGGUAGAUGUAAGGCAGCGGCCUCCUCUCAGCGCGGAAGGGAAGUGACCCGGGUGGACGAAGGAGGGAUGAAAGUAGAAGGACCUUCAUGUCCAAAGGAAGGACCCUAAGAAGGGCGAUAGCUGCAAGGGUUGGAGUGGUGCGGAAGCCCCGGAUGGCAUGGACACUGUGUGGACCUCAGCUGACUGCGACCAGCCCUGGUUUUGGCAGCAUCUUCCCAAAUGGAAGCAGCGUAGGUGAUCGCUGGUUCGAUUGCCCCAAGGUAAAGCCUCCUACGUGCAUGGAAACCAAAGCCAUAUCUGGCAUUGGAGCACCUCUCAAGACGGGAGAAGAAGGAAAGAGCCCUCUCACAAACCCUCUGUAAAUGAGGGGAGAAGGACAAGCGAUCAUCGAAAGUGACCCCGAGGAUUUUGAGGCUGUCUGGGCACGCCAGCUCCAAACCAUCAAUCUUCAAAGAGGGAGGGUUGUUGAAGAUAGGGAGGACCCGGGAUUUAUCCGGUGAGAGAAUUAGUUUCCGGUCCAGACACCACUCGGAGAUCAAGUCGAGGGUCCGUUGCGCUGAGGAAACAAUGGAAUUGGGAGGGCCAGAGACAACAAUCUGUAAGUCAUCGGCGAAGGCUUGCACAUGAACACCCGAAGGAAAGGGUAGAGAGAGGACCGAAUUGAAAACAAUGUUCCAGGCAUGUGGUCCACUCUUGGAACCCUGGGCGCACCCACGGGUGGGAAAUGCAGAGCGAGUAUAGCCCCGAUGGGAGAGGGAGACGGACCUAUUGGUAAAGAAAGAUUGAUAGACCGCUUGGAGAAGAGGAGGACAGGAAGCUUCAGCAAGGCAAGCAAAGAAGGCAGGGUGCCAAAGGUGGUCAAAGGCAGACUUAAUGUCAAGACUAAUUAGGAAACACCCUUGAUGUGUCUUGACUGCCGAAGAUACCCUCGAUUUUAACAUUGAGAGGGCAUCAAUCGAGGAGCGGCAUCUUCGGAAGCCAAACUGUAGGGGGUGCAAUAACUUAUUUGACUCAAAAAAGUGAGCAAGCCUAAGAGUAAUUAUGUCCUCAAAGACUUUACCUAACACCGGUAAAAGGGUGAUAGGACGGUGGCGGGAGGCAAAGUCUUCAGAGGAGGACGCCUUGGGGACCAGGACAAGCCUGCCUGUCUUCCAGAGUGUAGGGAAAAAACCAAGAGAAAGACAGCGGUUAAAGAGAAGUAGGAAGAAGGAGGGAAAGGAAGAAAGAAGCCACUUAGCAAACUGUCCAGGUAACUGGUCAGGGCCAUGUGCCUUCCUGGGAUUAAGGUUGUUAAUUGCCCUAGAGUACUCAAAAGGAGUAAUAGGUGGGUCAUGAGGAGAAGAAUGAGAGGAGGAGCUAGUGUUUAGAGCAAAGUGAAAGGGCCUAGUGUCAGGAGGGGGGUCUGUGAAGAAAGAGUCCAACAUAUCCUGAAGACAGGCAGGGAUGUUAUGGUGAAUUAAAAUAUUCUCAAACCGUCGGGAGCAAAGAGGGUUAGGUUUAGCCGAGCCAUGGGAAAUAUAGCGAUAGAUUGGACCCCAAGGAUUAUGCUCAAAAGUAUUGCAGAGUUUCCUAAAAUAAUUAGUCUUAGCCCUGUCAAUAGCCUUGUUGUAGCGGUUACGCACCUCCAUAUAACGUUCUCUCAAGCGGUCACGAAGUGGAGGAAAGAAGUUCUUAUAUUCCCUUCCCAGUCUCCUGGAGAGGGUUUUAAGGGACUGUAGUUUAGGAGACCACCAGGGAUUGGGUGGGGGAAAAGCAAGAAGUGGUCCCUUGGGGGAAAGGUUGGCAGAACAACACAUGUGUAAAUGUUCGUAAAAAGUGCCAACAAAGCAAUCAAUGGAAGCGGCAGAGUCACAAUUGUUCAGAGCCACCUGCAGGGCACCUUCAGGAGAAAGGAGAGAUUGAAGAGAAAAGAAAAGCCUAGAAGGUGGGGCAGAUUUAAGAUUAAAAGAGGAAAAGUCAGGAAAGAGAGAAGGAGAAGAAAGAGGAGAGGCAUCAAGAUCCGGGGUGGAAACAGAGAAUGAGAUCUCAAAGUGAUCUGAGAGAUCCCACUCAACCGCAUCCCACCCGGACACAGAAGAAAGGAGACUGGAGGUGAUGCAGGUGACAUCAAUGGAAGAGGAUGAAGAUCCUUGUGCACGGGUAAUGGCUCCAUGACGGUUACACACCGCCAGGUUUAGGGAGUCCAACAUGAAGUUGAGGUGCGUACCUUUGACACGGUGGCGGUUACUCCAGCGGUUGGACUCUGCAUUAAAAUCUCCAGCAAUAAGGAGAUUUGGUGGAGGAGGAGAGCCAAAUAAAUUAGUAAAAGAUUCAGCUGUCCUCGAAGCAUUAGCCCGGCAAGGAAUGUAAACCGAACAGAUGGUGAAGUGGAAGUUCGGUAUGUCAACAACCGCUAGAACACGGUUAACAUUAGAAAGUUUGGGGAGGAGUAGAACCGGUAGUACUUGGUUCAGCACCACAAUAGCCGCACUACAUUUGUUGUUAGAAAUGGGGGCAUGCAAGAUAGAGGAAGGUGGAAUAGGGUGGGCAGACGGAAGUCGGUUGUUUGAAACAGGAAGUUCUUGCAGCAGUAGGAAAUCUACGGCUUUAGAAGAAGCUUCCUGGAGAAUGGAAUGGAAACAUGCAAAUGAACGGUUGCAAUUUAACUGCAAAAAAGAGAUUAGCAUGAGUGUUGAACCAAGUUAUGGAAACUCUCCUCCACCAUUCGUAUGACCGGACAGGCAAAUGAGUCUGCCCUGUGACCGUUCUGAUCCGGCUUGCAGCGGAAACAACUGGGGCUAGCACCAGUUGUGGGACAGUCCGCAAACUUGUGGGCAAGCCCACAAUGAAGGCAACGCACCGGGCCAGAACAAGAAUUGGUCCGGUGCCUGAGACUACCACAGGACCUGCAGGGGAAGGUAGCCCUAGUCCUGUCAAUGGACAGAGAAGAGAAUCCGAAAUAGAUUCUCUUUUUGCCCUCCAGAGCGGUGGCAACGAUGUUGUUGGUCUCAAACACCGCAUGGACCCGACCGUUCCGCGCUGAGAUAGUUCGGAUGAGUCGGCAGUCAGUAUCCUGACAUUCGACCGACCGGACGAACAUGGUGGUAAGAUCCUCCUCAUUGGUAAUGUCAGGUACAUUAAAGAUGGUGAAGCGAUGUGGAAAGAGGGAGGUGUAGAUAUUUUGAUAUUUGUAUUUUUGGUAAGGUCCACCAGUUUACGGUGCAGUUUAGUAAAAUCCUCUUUUGACCUAGUGUGUAUGGUAAUUUUAUCCCUGGAAGUAUUUAAAUGGGACCCAGGAACCCCCAAAGCGGAGAAAGAAGACAUGUUAGAAAGCCUAAGGCUAAGAGGCUGAGCCUCCUUGGGGUCCUGUGUGAUAGUAAGGUGAAACGGGUUAUUGGUCAAAGUAAACCUAGAAGUGGUCUUUGGUUGGGUAGAGACAGGUCCCCGACUAGCCGAGGGGGCUGAGCUAGCAGGUUGCACAGAAGGACGGCUUGAGGCCAUGGCAGAGUACGAAAGGGGAGCGGCAGUAGCGGAAGUGUCAACAGGGGUGGCAAGUGUACUUAUGGUAGAGAUACCAGGCUCAGCAAGAGUGGCUGAGGUGGCAUCAACAACAACAUGUGGGUGGGCAAAAUGCUGCUGUUUUGAUUGGGAAGCCAUCUGUAAUAAGAGUCCAGAGGAAAAAUCCAAUUCAGAGAUACGACGUUCAUAGUCGGCCCUAGAUGUAAAAGAAUGUCCUUAAGUUCAGAAAGAACUGAGGAACCAAGUUCAGCAGAAAAUUCAGAAAUGGAAUUAGAGAUAGUCUUAAUUGAGAUGGCUGCCCAAUCAAAAAUAUCAAAACAAUUGCUAGAAGUAGUACAUUUAGAAAAGGCCACAAAAUUAGGUGGCGGCUCCAAGGAAAUGGUAGGCACAGGAAAGUCCUCAAUGUCAACAAUAGUAUUAGGUUGGUAAGAAUGGGAGGAAGAAAAAGAUCCAGAUUCAGAAGGAGAGGGAAAAAGAGGGCGAGAUUGAGAUUAACUCACAGGUUUUAGGUUAUCCGGGUCCAGAGUAAGGCGCAGAGUGGCGUCGCGCAUAUGAUCUGGGGAGUAAGUCAGCUGAGGGUCUUAGCCGGCGGGAAGGGUCUCGGUAGGGCCCGCAUUUUUGGAACUUCCUUUUAUAGUUGACUGUUGUAAGACUCUUGGAAUGGGUAUUUUAGAAGAACUAUGGACAUAAGCUUUUAGGACAGCAGAAUUAAAUAUAAUUAUAAAUAUAUAAUAUGCUUCGAGCAAUCGCUCUUCCGCAAAUAUCAAAUUGUGUCUUUUAUUUGAACAAUUAUAUUACGAUGCACUUGCGCGCCAUCUGUAUAUAUAUAUUUAUAAUUAUGUUUAAUUCUGCUGUCCUAAAAGCUUAUGUCCAUAGUUCUUCUAAAAUACCCAUUCCAAGAGUCUUACAACAGUCAACUAUAAAAGGAAGUUCCAAAAAUGCAAUAUAACAGCGGUAUGGUAGAUUAAACUGGCGUAACCGCUGGGAGGGUUCACCACUGAUGAGCCAGGCCCUCCCUUUAAUUUUUCCAUUGCAGUAAGGACAGUAGAAAUUGUUUUAUUUUAAAAAUAAUAUUACGCCUCUAAAAUAGUUUUGUAAUUUGAUAACAGAUGGCGCGCAAGUGCAUCGUAAUAGAAAUUAUUAAAAUAAAAUUCACAAAAAUAAAUAGAGAUUAGAAAAUAUUGAAUAAAAAAUAUAUAAUUAAUAUUGUAGGAUCUGGGCAUCUUGUGGUCAGCUUGGGAAAGGUUCAGGCUCGUGGUGGAGCUGGUGUUCUGCCUGAAGAUGGUAACUUCAACACCCACCAUGGGCUUGUGGCUUGCCCAUAGGCAUACUGGAGUCUGGCUUGGUACUGGUGGAGUCAAGUCAAGCACCAUAGGUCAGUGGCUUGACUACAGGGAAGGGGCAUCUGAGUCUAUCUUGGACUCUGGCUUGAAUUCAAGUUGGCCACCAUGGGACAUGUGAGUCAAUCACCAGAAGGGGUGUCUGAGUCCAUCUCAGACUAGCUUGGUAGGGCCAGGUCAUCCACCACAGGUCAGGUGGCUUGACCACAGGAAGGGAUGUCUGAGUCCAUCUUGGACUCUGGCUUGUUGCUGUCAAGGUCGAAGGUGGCCUCAGGCUCCAUCUCUACACCUCACAAUCACUGAGGUUUGCGGCUUAGAUUGACAAAGGUGGGACACGGUUAGGUUAGGUGGGGUUCUGGGUGAUUUUGGUAUACUAUGGUCACGGGGGGUCCUAACAAUACCACGUUAAUCAGCACAAAAAUUUAAAUAUGGUUUGUUUAUUUGAAGGGAGUUUUUUUUUUUUUUUUCCAUUUUGUGUAUACUAGUGUUAUUUUUUAUGAAAUUUAAAAUGAAUUUUGAUCAUCCUGAUUAUUUUAAAAUCUAUGAAUGUUUAAAAUCUUUUUACAUUAACAAAUUUUACAUAUACAUAUUUUUUUUUUUACAUAUAUAUAUUGUUUUUAUCUCUCAUCUGAAAAAGUUAGUUAUUAAAUGUGCAAUAUAUAAAAACAUAUAUUAAUUUUUAUAACGUAUAAAAAAUAUUAGAAUAACCAUGAAUCUGUCUAUUUUUAGCAUAAAAUAGAGAUUAAAAUAAUAAUUUUAAAUAAUUCAUAAUUUAAUGGAUAGAUGGCAGCACAUGCCCUUGAAAAAUUGUCUAUAAAGCACGAAAGUUUAUAUGAAUGUUUAAAAGAUACGUUCCACAAGAGAGAGAUAAAAUCUAUUCUAAGUUUUAUCUUAAUGAUAGUGGAUUAUUGUUGUUUUAAUUUUGAUAACAUUUAUCAACGCUAGGUGGGGACCGUUUUCAAUUAUUUAUUUAUAAAGAGGAAAUAUUUUCUCUCUCUCUCUUAUUACUGCUCAGAUAUAAUUGGAUGUUUAGUUUUUGAUUAUUAUUACAAUCUAUUUUGCGCUAAUGAGGUUUCUAUUAUAGUUCGUUGGCUAUAUUCACUCAUUUGGUUGAUUGUCUCCUUGUAUAGAAAUUGUAGCUUAUAGGUCUAUAUACAACGUGUGAUCAAUAAUUUCCAGGAAUGAGACUGGAUCACGUAAAAUAUUCAAAAUAAUGAAAUAAUUUUAAUAAGGACCUUAUAGAUAAAACAUUUAUUAACACGUAGAAAAAAAUUUGAUCACACAGAGGCACGCGCUCACGUUUUUUCGAAUUUAUAAGCUCGAGUUUAUCAGAACAUUUUUUAACUCCAGUAUGGACUGUAUUGAAAAACAGCGAGUCUGCAUAGAGUUUUGCUUUAAAUCAAGGAAAACAGCUUCCGAAUCAUUUCAAAUGUUGAAACAGGCUUUUAAAGAAGAUGCCCUAUCACAAUCGAGGACAUUUGAAUGGUUUGCACGAUUUAAAGCUGGUCGAACAAGCGAGAGAAAGCAAGGACGAUCAAAUCGAAGAUUAAGUGUCUUCUUAUCACUUUCUUUGAUGUAAAGGGAUUGGUACACUAUGAAUUCGUGCCCGAGGGUCAGAUCAUUAAUCAACAUUACUAUCUUGAUGUAUUGUGACGUUUAAGGAAGGCUGUGCGUCAGAAACGACCCGAAAAUGGCAUCGGAAAAAUUGGCUUUUGCACAUGACAACGCACGGCCACAUACGGCCGUCACUGUACCACUCUAUUUGGCUAAAAACGGAAUUGAUUUAUUACCCCAGCCACCCUAUUCUCCUGACUUUGCUCCCAACGACUUUUUCCUUAACCCUUAAAUUUAAAAAGUCUUAAAAGGACGUUAAUUUGACUCAAUGCCUGAAAUAAAGGAGAAUACGAAGAAUAUUUUGAAAAGCCUGAAAGAUGAGGAUUUUCAGAGGUGUUUCGAUAUCUGAAAAAAAAUAUGGAACAAGUGUAUAGAUAGUGACUGUUUAAUUUAGUUAGAAUAUUUAUGUUUAUAUAAAGGUUUAAUAUAAUUUUUCUAUGAUUGUGUAAAUAUUCAUUGAAUUUAUCAUCAUCACCUUUGUUGUUUACACAAAAAUGUUAUAUGAAAAAUAAAGUAAGAAAUUGAACGAAAUGGUUGCCCUCAUGUUUACUGAUCCAAUGUUUUAAUAAUCUAAGGUUUAUGUUGUAAGAAAAUUAUACAUUGAGAAGAAUUAUACAUUGGUCCCUCGAGCCGGAUGAACGUAAGUAAAAGU